UACGGGGGGAGCAAGCGUUGCUCGGAAUCACUGGGCGUAAAGGGUGCGUAGGCGGGUCUUUAAGUCAGGGGUGAAAUCCUGGAGCUCAACUCCAGAACUGCCUUUGAUACUGAGAAGCUUGAGUCCGGGAGAGGUGAGUGGAACUGCGAGUGUAGAGGUGAAAUUCGUAGAUAUUCGCAAGAACACCAGUGGCGAAGGCGGCUCACUGGCCCGGUACUGACGCUGAGGUGCGAAAGCGUGGGGAGCAA
rnacentral:rRNA from 1 species